AUGCUUCAGAGCCUUGACUGUGACACGGAGCUCAGGUUGCCAAGGGAAUGGGAGCCACGCCGUGACGGGCUGACUGAGGCUGAAUCGGUCCUAUGGGGCAGUGUAGCCACUUUCUGCAGGUGCAGAGCUGCUGUCUGGCUCCUUUUCUGUCUCACACAAAGCAAGUGGAAAGGAGAAUCUAGUACCAUAAAAUGCCACUGGAUCUACUUCGAUGUGAUAACCUGUGGAGUCAUGCUUGCUUAUUGUUCUGUUCAGCUUUCUGGAAGCCAGUGGACUACAAUAUAUGUUCGGCAUUGCCCACCCAUUUUUAAUUCAUCCAAGUACACUCACUAAGGCAGAAAGAAAACAAAAAAAUGAAAAAGUAACAUUUUUUUUUCUAACCCUCCUUUCUAGUGUGUGUCCUUUCCAGUGGCACAUCAGCAAUUGUGGCUUAGAUUCAAGAACUGCAGGUGCAGAAGCUUGACCGUGCCACCAGAGCCGUACCUUCACCUAGUCAUUGCACGCAAAAUGCCUGGAUUCAAAAGCAUGGAAGGGGCUUGAAUUUGGUUUGGACCAUGAUUUUGUUGUUUAUGUUUUUAGGAUAUUAUUUUCAUUCCAAAAGUGACCAUAGGAAAUCAAAUGUCUGAGAACAAAGGGCUUAAGAAUGCAAUCAUCUAACAAACAUUAAAAAGUCCCCUUUAUUAUAGAACUAAAUUUCACACACACAAAAAAAUCUGAAAUGAAUAAAAUAAAUAUGUCACCACCAAACUAAAUAAAGCCCAUCAACCUGCAUUACACCUUGACUACUACCCAAAAUUUGAGAACAACAGAUAGCACAUUUAUCAUAAUAGCAGGACAAAUAGUUGCAGGGAAUGUAUGCCAGGGAAAAGCUUCAAAGAGGCAGAAGACAAGGGAAAAGACAGUGGCUCUCCCAGCAGUAACUGAUGAUCUUCAGGAGGUGUCACACUGGGGACAAAGAUCCUGACAUGCACAUGUGAAAUGAGAAUGAAAUGAGAGUAGGCAAUUUAGCACCAAUUUCCUACACUCGGGCACCCACCCUCUCCAGAGGCAAUUGUUCUCCCUGAAAACUCCCUCCUUUCCAGUUUGACUCUGAUGUUCCUGAAGCAGAGAUCAUUUGAACUUAUCACGUAUUCAUAUCCUAAGGGAGAGUCUGUCACAAAGAAACAGGAAGAGGCAGGUGCAGAGAGCACCUAUGCCUGGUUAGAGAGCUCCAGUUGCUAAAAUGGGGCCACCAUAAGCAGAAGGACGGUGACGAGAUAAAUCAGAUACAGUAUUGGUCCUUGCCUCCCUGAAGACUGACUUUGAAAUCUGGAUUCACUUUAGCACACACACACACACAAAUGCUUUUUAAAAAAAAUUGAGACGGAGUCCCCCUCUGUCACCCAGUCUGGAGUGCAGUGGCACGAUCUUGGCUCACUGCAGCCUCUGCCUCCCGGGCUCAAGUGAUUCUCAUGCCUCAGCCUCCAGAGUAACUGGAAUUACAGGUGCUUGCCACCAUGUCUGGCUAAUUUUUGUAUUUUUAGUAGAGAUUGAGUUUCACUGCAUUGGCCAGGCUGGUCUCGAACUCCUGACUUCAAGUGAUCUGCCUCCUGAAGUGCUGGGAUUAUAGGCAUGAGCCACCGUGCCUGGCGUAUAAAACCAUUUUUUAAUGAACAAAUGAGUGACCAAAUGAGAGACUGUAUAGAAGUUUUCAGUGGAGGAACAAUGUAAAACAAAUGGAAAGAACUUAAGGAAAGAGAAAUGACUUCCAAAGUAGAUGUUAUUAUAUGCCAAUCACUUUACAUACACUGUCUUCUUAAAUCAUUAGAAGAAUUCUGUGUGGUGCAUUUUAUUAUUCACAUUAAACUGAUAAGGAAGCUGAGGCUGGGAUGAGGAAGUCAUUUGCCUGCUAUCACACCCCUAGUCAGUGGCAGGGCUCGGGUUUGAGCUCAAGUGUGUCGGACAGUACUGCCUAUGCUCUUUCAGUUAUGACAACCACAUCCAACAACACCCUAAACUAACUUUUAAGGAGUACUUACUAGGUGCCAGGUGCUUUUCACACAUCAUUUUCUUCAAUCAAUUUAAAUAACCCUUAAAAAUAAUCACAUUAUUUUAAAUAUCAUAUUAUUUAAAUAAUAUGAUAUUAUAAAUAUCAGUAAUCAUAUUAUUAUUCCCAGUCCAAAGAUGAGGAAACUUAGAACCUCAAGGCAAUGAUCAUUCUUGCCUAAGAUGGUAUAGUAAGCCCUAAAGCUGAGAUUCAAACCCAGAGCUAAUAGCAAAGCCUGUCAUUAAUCACCCCACUCUUCCACUCUUAAAACCAGAGAUCCAAAGGGAAGAGGUGAUUUCCUGCCAGAACAGAGUUUAUAUCUAGAGGAGGAUCUAUCGCCUUCCCAGAGGAAUUCAUUACUGAAUUAUAUUCAAAUAGUAAAUGAACAUAUCUUCCUCUCCAUAUCUGAAUCACCUAUCUUCUCUUUUUCCUCCAGCUAUGCUAGGAAUUCAGCUCCAUACACCCAUGGUAACAUGGAUAUCAACUUUGCCUACUGGGCCCUGAAAUUCUUGGGGUCUAAAAGGGUAAUUCUCAUUUCUGUACCUACAGGGCCAUGCACAGAACCUAGGUGAGAGUAGUUGCUCUAUUAGUUUGAAGAGAUCAAUGAGUGAAUGAGUGAAUGGAUGAAUAAACGAACAAGCAUGGAAUUCUAGAUUGGAAGGCACUUUAGAGAAAAUUGAUUACAGUUACCACAUUUUACAGAAUUAUUUUCCUGGAUUUGGAGAAAUGUUAACUGACUUUCCCAGAAACAAGUGCUAGAUAAAUAUAUUAUACACACACACACACACACACACAAUAACGCCAGCCUCAUAACAACAAAGUAAAAUACAUAAAAUGUGACUCUCUUGGGACUAGACUUUAGAUACAUUUUGAAUAUUUUAUGGGACUUUUUUAGCUAUAUAGGCCACAGAUUGUGAUGAGAACACACCCUAAUUUGGCAAGUGUUUUGUAUCCAUAAUGAGAUUUCUAAAUGUUAUCUGUUUUUAGUACAUAAAGAUAUCCUGAGUAAAAUAUUUAACAUAAUUGUGGCACUUGUCAUACAGUCUUUUCUCCUUCUAUACCCCAAAAGGAUUGCAUAGCCUGAGGUGGUGGUUAGCAACGAAGGGGUUCUGUGUAUUUGUAUAUUUUCAUGCAUGGAUUUAUUUUUGAAACACAGAGUUUAUGCCUCAGCAGUGAGGAACUCCUGAAAUCAUGGAGAGACUCAAAGUGGACAUAAUACAUCUGAAUCGUUACUUUGCAACUUAUCAUUCAAACCAGGACCAGGACACAGUUGAGAGUGAAGGGGGAUGUUACAAGAUAGACGGUCUUCUUGUGCAAAUAUUUAACCUUUUGUGGUCUUCCACAAGAAGACCAUCUACCUUAUAACAUCCCCAACAAUCUAGUACCAGAAAUACCAUUUGACCCAGCAAUCCCAUUACUGGGUAUAUACCCAAAUGAUUAUAAAUCAUCCUGAUAUAAAGACACAUGUACACGUGUGUUUAUUGCAGCAAUGUUCACAACAGCAAAGAGUUGGAACCAACCCAAAUGCCCAUCAGUGACAGACUGGAUAAAAAAAAUGUGGCACAUAAACACCAUGGAAUACUAUGUAGCCAUAAAAGAGGAUGAGUUUGGCCGGGCACCAUGGCUCACGCCUGUAAUCCCAGCACUUUGGGAGGCAAAGGUGAGCAGAUCACGAGCUCAGGAGUUUGAGACCAGCCUGGCCAAUAUGGUGAAACCCGAUCUCCACUAAAAAUACAAAAAUUAGCGGGGUGGGUUGGUGUGCAUCUAUAGUCCCAGCUACUUGGGAGGCUGAGGCAGAAGAAUCGCUUGAACCCAGGAGGUGGAGGUUGCAGUGAGCCAAGAUCGUACCACUACACUCCAGCCUGGGCAAUAGAGCGAGAUUCCAUCUCAAAAAACAAAACAAAAAAAAUUUAAAAAAAGGAUGAACUCAUAUCCUUUGCAGGGACGUGGAUGAAGCUGGAAGUCAUCAUUCUCAGCAAACUAACACAGGAACAGAAAAUCAAACACCGCAUGUUCUCACCCACUAGUGGAAGUUGAACAAUGUGAACACAUGGACACAGGGCAGGAACAUCCACACGUGUGGGAGGCUAGGGAGGGUAGCAUUAGGAGAAAUA
ensembl:lncRNA